rnacentral:tRNA from 1 species
UGGGCUGGGGCUCAGAGGUAGAGUACUCGCCUACCAUGUGUGAAGCACUGAGUUCGAUCCUCAGCACCACAU